CGCCGCCGACUCCCGCCUUGGCCCAGCCACCUUUCUCCUUCCCGGGGCCCCAUCCGGGCACUGCCGGCGCUCUUGCUCGCCUAGCACUGGUCAGCAAAGGCCUCCUGCAGUCGGGCCAGGUCCGAUCCACCUGGAGAACAUACGGAUCGGGCACCCCUCAUCACCCUGAAGAUAGCAGCCCAGGUCGCAUGCGGUGUCCAGGGCAGACACCGCAGGGAGAUGGAGGGCAGUGUGGAGACACCUGCAGAGUUGCCUGGGCAUCCCACUUCUACAGUCCUCUGUCCGCCUGUACUCCAGGCUGAGGCUGCCCGUGUGGCUUCCCGUCCGGUCUCCUGCUCCUGGUGCCUGGGCUGCCAAGCAUCUACCCGGAAUCUGAGCGUUUCGGUUUGAAGCUGUGGGAGGCCCCGUGGUGAGGCUUCUGUCCAAGUCCACAGAGAAGAUUUCAGGCCGUGUUAGGAACAUCAUGUCCGUUAACGUCUGGAACACGCCAGUGAGUGACUCGCUUCAACAAACGCCACUCUGGUCCAAAAAGAGUUUUUGUUUUCUUUUGUUAAGUUGAAUGCCUGUUCGAAAUUGGGGGAGAGGUUCCUGUCAGGAGAGCUGACUUGACUUUGCUAGAGUAUCCACUGCCACUUCCCGAAAGGACAUGGGCCAGCUUGUGAAGUGUCGCAGUCGUGAGGUGGUUCAGGUCCCAGGGAACCAGGGAUCAAUUGUAGUGAUGGACUGGAGACAAUUUUUCCCGGGCAGGCAGGAAGAGAUUCUUUUGGGAAGGGGCCCUAGGUGAGAUGUCCUGUACUGGAAACAACCACAAGUCAGACUAAGGCUCUUAGCUUCCAAUUACUCACUGGUAUGUCCAAACAACUCUCCAGGACAUAGUCUAGGCGGCAGGUAACCAUGAACACACCGUUUUCUCAGGCUCUCUCAGAGUGCUCUUACAUACCCGGCAAGGAAUAUUAUAAUUUUUAAGAAAAAGGAGGAAUGUGGGAAGGGAGGGAAAGAGAAAACACGGCAGGGAAUGUAGAUUCUUUUAAAAUGGAUAAAUCUGAAUUAAAAACAAACCGCACUGGGAGAAGAAUGUUGGUGCUGGUACAGGGUGGGCAAGGAUGCAGAGUCAUGAAUUCUGGAGUAUCCCUGGGAGAAAAUGUGCUCACCUCCACACCUAGAAGAACUUGAAAAUGACUGGAUCCACUGUGCCAGGGAAGGCCUCCAGACAAAGAGCUGCACUUCAUACCUCUACCUCAGAACUCCACGCAAGACCCAGGGCAGAAGGUAUCUCAACCAUCUGGACUGUGACAGCUCAAAUUGCUUCGAAGAAUUGGGAGGAGCAUCUAGUGACACCUGAAAAAGCGGGAGAGCAAGGGGACCUUGGAGGACUGUCUGUAUCCUACUUCAGGCAUGAGAUACCUGUGCAGGGCUCAUCUCUGUCAGAAGGGGUGUGUCCCGAAAGAUACUGGUAGAGUAGGUAUGUAUAUGUGUCACAUGUACAGUGUCAGAGGAGGUCAAGAGAAGGACAUAGAUUCCCUAGAUCUGAAGUCACAGAUGGUCAUGAGUCAUUAUGUAGGUGCUGAAGAUGGAACCUGUGUCCUUUGAAAGAACAGCAAGUGUUCUUAACUGCUGGUCCAUCUCUCCAGACCCUAUGCCAACAUUUUU
rnacentral:lncRNA from 1 species